ACCCGCACAAGCAGCGGAGCAUGUGGUUUAAUUCGAAGCAACGCGAAGAACCUUACCAGAUCUUGACAUCCAAUUGACCAUCUUUUAAUCGAGAUUUUGCCUUCGGGUACAAUUGAGACAGGUGGUGCAUGGUUGUCGUCAGCUCGUGUCGUGAGAUGUUGGGUUAAGUCCCGCAACGAGCGCAACCCUUGUGUUUAGUUGCAAACAGGUCAAGCUGUGCACUCUAGACAGACUGCCGUGGACAACACGGAGGAAGGUGGGGAUGACGUCAAAUCAUCAUGCCCCUUAUGACCUGGGCUACAAACGUGAUACAAUGGCUGGAACAAAGGGAUGCGAAGCAGUGAUGUGGAGCGAAACCCAUAAAGACAGUCUCAGUUCGGAUUGAAGUCUGCAACUCGACUUCAUGAAGUCGGAAUCGCUAGUAAUCGCGGAUCAGAACGCCGCGGUGAAUACGUUCUCGGGGUUU
rnacentral:rRNA from 1 species